rnacentral:rRNA from 1 species
CCUACGGGGGACAGCAGUAGGGAAUUUUGCGCACUGGGCGAAAGCCUGACGCAGCAACGCCGCGUGAACGAGACGCCCUUCGGGGUGUAAAGUUCUGUCAGUGGUGACGAAAAAUGACGGUACCCACAGAGGAAGCACCGACUAACUCCGUGCCAGCAGCCUCGGUAAUACGGAGGGUGCAAGCUUUUUACGGAAUCAUUUGGCGUAAAGAGUUCGUAGGCUGCAUGUAAAGUCAGGGGGUAACGGCGCAGGCUCAACCUGUGUAUGGCACUUGAUACUUUAAAGCUGGAAUGCGGUAGAGGUAAAGGGAAUUCCUGGUGUAGCGGUGAAAGGCUUAGAGAUCAGGAGGAACAUCGGUGGCGUAAGCGCUUUACUGGGCCGUAAUUGACGCUGAGGAACGAAAGCCAGGGUAGCAAAUGGGAUUAGAUACCCUAGUAGUC